AAGGCCUCGGCUUCACCCGCUCCUCCGCCGCCCGACCGCCGCAGGCACCCAAUGGGCUCUAGUGCCUACCCGCCCUCCAAUCAGGGCUCUGGUUGGUGAGAACCUGAUCCUGACGCCACUUUGGCGGGAGAAACAAGCGUGUCUGAAGGAGCAGGCGGGGGCGCUUGCCCCGCCGUAACAUUCAUUAUGACUCUUUCUAUAGAAGCUAGAUUGUGUCAUAUUUUAGCAACCCCAGCCCUCAAGGUCUCAAAACUUAUGAUCUAAUUUCUAUGAAUUAACGAAUAAGAGUUUACCCUUAGAGCGACAAACUACAGAAUUGUAUCCCAAAGAUAAAAUAUUAGAAACUAUUAUAAAUUCUAGCAGUCCUGGCUGGACCACUUCUAACUGUAUUACAAAGUAGAUGAGUUUGUCUUCUUACCUCUUUUCACUUGCACAUUCAGUGACUGGCUUAUUAGGAAUGUCUGAUUAAGAGAUGAGCUUAUUUAAGAGCAACUAGUGCUGGAGAUCUUUUAAAAUAGGCAUAUUUUUGCUGGAAGGCUUAUGAACCAACUCUUCAAGAACUUUUUAAAAUUUUUUUAUCCUAGAAAGGGCUUCCUAAGCAAGGAACCCAGCUUCAGAAACUCAUUCUCAGGCCCACAAAGCCAGGUCUAGAUGUUACAGCCUCCUCCCGUCCCAGAUACUUUUACUGUUAUUGCUUCAGUUCAGUCAAAUAAGAACAGCAUUUUAGUUGCAUCUCAUCUAAGAGCAGUUUUCUCCCAGCAAGCACUGCUGAUGAAUUUAGUGACGAAGGCCUGCAAAAGUUAGUAAAACUGGCUUGAGCAGAUAAAUCAGAUGAAAACUUUCACGGGUCUGUUUCCCUAAUUUCAAUUAUACUUUCCAGUUAAUUUCAAGUAAUACUCAGCAAAGACUUUUACUUUGUUAGUUAAAAUUUUUUGACUGGACUUUUAAAAAGCUGAAUAAACAAAAAUUAUUCAAAGGUUAAAAAUUUAUUACACAUAGGCAUGUUGCUUUUUAUCAAAGAAAUUUAUUCGCAUGUAAAUAAACACGUUUUUGUAAUGUUUGGGGGGAAAAAAAUCCCACAGAUUUUUAUCUACUUUCAAAAAAAUGAAAAACCCCCAAGUAUUUACAGAACGGCCAUAUGCACAGAAAAUCAAAUUUGAAAAGAUUUUAGAAAAGACCCUCCCCAUCUGCUCCUGAUGUACAUUUUUGAAACAAAAUUUAAAGCUCAGCUUUUGCAACUGAGCAUGUUUCCCAACCUAGCUUCUGAUAUGUUAAGUACUUCCUACCCCUCAAAAAACUAACUCAAGGGUAGAAAUCAGGGGGGAGGGAGAUUGGGGGGGAAAAAAAAGGUAAAAGAAGAUGAGAUUGCUUAGGGAUUGUGAAUAAUGAGUUUCCUAUACUGGAAUCUGCUUUAAGUGACUCAGCUGGAUACUAUGACUCACUGGCUCCCUGGAAGGUUUCUUUUGAGAAUUCAUAAUAGUGCUGCCCUAAAUUUUCAAACCUAGGCCUUAAGGAAAAUCCUUCCAAGAGCCACCAACCUCAAGCCUAGUUUUGGCAAUUAUAUCCUGCUUCAUUCCCACCGCCUCCCCCCCCAAUACUUGUUUUAAAAGAAAUUGAUUUUUGAACCUGGAAUCUUCAUGUACAUCAGAGCAGGUUUUGACCAAGAACCCCUAACAUGAAGCCAAAAGACAGAAGAGGAAUCAGGUCAAACUAAGAAUACAUAAAGACUCCAGCAGCAGAAGAUAGGUAGAAGUUGACUUCAUGUCCUUGCCGUCUUUUGAAACAGGAGAAUGAGUACACCUAGACAGGAGGGAGGUGUCCCAGGCUUGGUUUAUUCUGCCUCUUCUCCUCCACCCUGUGGAGAAAUGCAGUGCUCCCUGGUUCUCAGGCAGGGUGAAGCAGUUUAGCCCCGGCUCCCUGUUAAGCAAGUUCAGAUGCUGGGUCAGUGUGUGGGGUGUGCCCAUCGACAAGUCAGGGGCUUAUCCUUCAUCCAGAUCCUAACUCGGGAUUCUUUGAUCUGGGAUGAAGACAGAAAGAGAGAAAAAGCUUCCCAGUUUACUCAUUUUGGUAUUUGUUGGCUCUGCUUGGGGGAGCUGAGCCCCUGAUACUAUGCAGUACAUUCCCCAUAAGAUUUUCCCCACCCAGACCAACUUAAAAACCAUUUUUUUUUUCCUGCAGAAACCAAUGGGAUAGGAUUCAAAACUAGGUGAGAAAUCCAACCUGGUUGUGUGUCUGAGAGGCUGCUACUGUAUCAGCAUCACAAGAUAAAGCACUCUGGUAUCACCUUGCCCAUGUCCUCCUUAGUGUCACCCAAGACAUUUGACUCUGAUACGGUAACCGAUAACUUUUCUUGCUCCACUUUGCAAUGUUUCGUUUCCUACUUCUUAUUACCUUGGGACACAAAAGUGGCAGAGUUGUUGUGAGCUGAUGACCAGAAAAGGGAGAACACUAAAGGAAAUCAGAGACAGUCAGGAAAGAAAGCCAAAGCUGAUUUUCCAACUCUAUGCUAACUCCAACCUGCAGAAAGGGAUGAAUAUAGAAAUCUUCAAUAUCUGAUGAAGUCACUCCAUUUAUCUCACACACAUACAUCACACACACACACACACACACACACAAACGAAUCACCUGGCUUUUUUUUUUUUUUUUUAAUCCAGAAGAGUUGUGCUGGGGAUCAUGCCCCGUCCUGCUGACACAGAACCUGAAUGGAAUCAUCAGGAAUGGCACAGUGCAGGUGUCAAAAUCAAAAGGUCGGAUGCCAUCAUCUGAGCUGGGACUGUUCUGAUAAGACUUCUCUGCUAUGGAGGAGCCUGACUCACUCUCACUGUCCAGAUUCUGGGGGGUAUAUGCUGGUGACUUACUAUGACUGGGAGAGCCACGCUCAUGCUUUGGAGUGGAACCACUGAUGAGUGGAGAGCCAUAGUUUUUGGAGGAGGCCAUCUGAGGCCUCAGCCCUUCUCCACUACUUUCCCCAGGUUUCUGCAAAGUCACUUUGGCUUUAAUGCUGGGGGAUCCCCCAUCAUGCUUGCUGAUGAUAAUUUUUGCCACACCCGUGCUCCCCACAUUUUUUGACUCUGAGGUCUUCUUAGUUGAAUCCACCGAGCCCCCCAAGGUGGAAACCUUUGAUUUGUCUUUAUCACUUUUCUCACGCUUGCCCUGGAACUCUCCUCCUGACAUGUUAUGUUUGGAGGACACAGGAUGGCUAGAAGAAUUUGUGCUCACCCCCACCUGGCCGUCCAUUGGGUCUUCACCCCCAGGGCCACUGGUGACAACCCCAUGCUUCAGUUUAUCUAUGACAGCUGUUAAGGACGGCUUCUUAUUUCUGCUGGGAGAUUUCCCUUUGGAACUCCCAUGCUGGUUCUGAGAGGAUGACAUGGAAGAGCCACUUGAGGAAAAGGAAGAGGAAGAUGCUGUACAAGAGUUAGAUGAUGGGGGAGUUUUCUGAGACAAUGAGCCUGAAGAUCCUAACCCUGAAGAUGACUUCAUGCCAGUGCUUGAACUAGUUCCAGACAUGUGAGAACCACCAGAACCUGAACUGAUAGGAGACUUGGCUUUAGAGGAUGGGGGAGUCCCAGGAACAGGCUUCAUUGGAGAGGCAAGCUUAUCAGAGCCUCCAGGUGGCCUUGAAUGGGAAGGGGAUAUGUUUGGUUUACUCAAAGAAGGAUUCAUAAGUGAUGAUGGCUUCCCUUGAGGUUUCAUCUUGGUGCUGCUGGAGCCACUGCUCAGUCCAUGCUUGGUAACAGGAGAGGAGCCAGGCUUCCCCCCAGACUGGGAUGAAUUUUUGGACUGGCUAGAUCCCGAAGACCCCUGGCUAGAAUAUAUACUGCUACUUAACUUGGAACUUGAUGAACCUUCUGAUUUACUGCUUUUCAUCUUGCCUGAGUUGGAAGCAGAAGACGAGGAAGAAUGGCUAUGGUGGCUUUUACUUCCUGAGGAAGACACAGAACCACUGCUGGUAUACUGACUGUGAGAGGAGGGCUUGCCCACCAUCACGGUUCCCUUAGGAAUCUGAAUAGUGAUUUUGGGAAUGGGUGGUGUGGCAACACCUGGGGGAGUCUGAGAUCUUCCUGAACUGCCUGGAGAUUUGGAUCCACCUGUACUAGUAGGUGGGGUGAAAGGUCGGUUAGAACAACUGUGAGAUGGAGACUUCCCCUCAGUGUCUGCCUUCUUCCGUUUUGGAGGCUUAUCUUUGCUUUUGCCAUCAUUAGAAGGGGUUCGACUGCGCUUCCCUGGUUUGCUGUCUAAUCCUGGCCCUGAUAGACUACUGUUACUGGUGCCAUUGCCUUCCUUUACUCUCUUUUGAGUCUUUUCUUUCCCUAAGUCCCCAGUGGUCAAUAAAGGACUCUGGCUACCACUGUGAUGCUCCAUAAGAUCUGUAGGACCCAAAGCCUUACCAGCCACUGCUAUUAUACUGAAAUCAACUGUGUCAGCUUGGCUAUUGCCUUUAAACUUAGUCUCCCCAUUAUCACCUCCAAGCAUUGGCACCCCCAAAGUAUUUAGUGCCUGAGAUGUAAAUCCUUUGAAAUCAUCAUUAUCUCCACUUUGGCUGCUUUCAUCAAAAUAUUCUUCUCCAAAACCACUUUGGCUCUGGCUGUUCAACAAAUCAGGAUUGAAAUCUACUCCAUCAGGAAAAAAAUGAUUGGUAGGAGAGUCACUACUGGGGCUUCCAGCAGCAUCUGCAAUAAGGUCAGCUGGAUCAGUGUAUGGAUUUUCAUUAUUAUUGGCUUGAAAGACAUCAGGGUCAAAGAGGGCACUCUGAGAAUGCCCAGAGCUUGAAGAAUCUCGAACAGGGGUGCCAAUGGGUGGACAAUCGUCACUAGUGCUGGGAAGCUUAGAAGCUUCUUCUGCAAUGUCUGAAAGGAUAUCAGUUACAUCCGGGCCAAUGCUGUCUGAACUGGAUAGUCGGACCAUCCUUUGAAUACUGGAUUGGGGAUGAGGUACUGGUUGUGGGUAAGUUGUUGGGGGAGUGCUACACUGGCUUGGAGCUGGAGUGAUGUGUGGCGUAUCCAGCGUGUCAGCUGUCAUGUUGACAUCAAAGAUAGGGUUCUGUGAGUCAACAUCCAUUGAAAAUAGCUCCCUCUGAAAGUCAUCUUCAGUCUGGUGCUUGGGUUUGUCAGGUGGUAAUCUUGAUGACUUCUUCUUCUUUGCCUUGUUGCUUCCCGAGCACAUUUCCAUCCGGGGUGAGCCGGAAGAGGAGUUCUGCCUUUCUAAAGGGCUGCUUCCAUAAAGGGUUGAGAAAUCCUGGGCAGGAUUAUCUUUAAGAAGGUUCAUGAGCAUCGGGUGGUUCUUGGUGUUGCCGGCCAUCGAAGAGACAGGUGGCGGCGUGUGAUGAGGAGGGGUCGGACUCGAGCCAAUGGUAGACCCCCCGUUCCCUGUGAUUUGCAACAAACUGGUAAGAAUUGGGUUCUGAGAUACCUUGCUGAAGUCCUCCCCAUGGCCCACCGACUCAUGCCGAUCUUUGAUGCUCAUGCUCAUAUUAAACAAGGUGGUAAUGGGACCCCCCGGAAAGGUGUUGGUUGGUGUAGUGGUACCACUCAUUGGGUUGUUGCCUGUGGUCAUGCCAUACCCUGGGCUGCUAGCCGGGGGCAGGUUCUUUUUCACCAUGUCUUCAACUGUCUCUGCAAUGAGGGACAGUGCUGGAGUGUCGGCCUGAAUGGUUUCAGCUUUCCUCCGAAUAGCCCUCAUCGUCACAGGGAUGGACAUACAUCUGUAAAAUAAGAUGGAAAAAACAAAGUUAAUAUUGUACUAGCUGCUAAUGAAACCAAUUUUUUAUUUGGGAAAACAGGCUUUUAAUUUUGCCUGAGACUUACAUAUGCCAAAAGGUUUACAAUAAGCAGCUUUCAGGCAAGGCAAAUAACCCGCAAGGCAGGAGCAGUUCUAUGAAAUGCCAGAGCUUUGGGUAAACUCAUUCUAAAAGAAUCUGGGGGCUUCCCUGGUGGUGCAGUGGUUAAGAAUCCACCUGCCAAUGCAGGGGACACGGGUUCAAGCCCUGGUCCGGGAAGAUCCCACAUGUCGCAGAGCAACUAAGCCCGUGUGCCACAACUACCGAGCCUGUGCUCUGGAGCCCAUGUGCCGCAACUACUGAAGCCCGUGCGCCUAGAGCCCAUGCUCCGCAACAGGAGAAGCCACCGCAAUGAGAAGCCCACGCACCGCAACGAAGAGUGGCCCCCGCUCACUGCAACUAGAGAGAGUCCGCGUGCAGUGACAAAGACCCAACGCAGCCAAAAAAAAAUUAAAAAUAAAAAGAAUCUGGAUGGAAUUCCCUGGUGGUCCAGUGGUUAGGACUCCAUGCUUCCACUGCAGGGGGCACGGAUUCAAUCCCUAGUUGGGGAACUGAGAUCCCGCAAGCCUCACAGCACAGCCCCCCAAAAAAAAAAAAAACAA